rnacentral:rRNA from 1 species
UAAAGAUUCAUCGCUGAUAGAUAGGCAUGCGUUCCAUUAGGCAGUUGGCGGGGUAACGGCCCACCAAACCGACGAUGGAUAGGGGUUCUGAGAGGAAGGUCCCCCACAUUGGUACUGAGACACGGACCAAACUCCUACGGGAGGCAGCAGUGAGGAAUAUUGGUCAAUGGGCGCGAGCCUGAACCAGCCAAGUCGCGUGAGGGAUGAAGGUUCUAUGGAUCGUAAACCUCUUUUAUAAGGGAAUAAAGUGUGGGACGUGUCCUAUUUUGUAUGUACCUUAUGAAUAAGGAUCGGCUAACUCCGUGCCAGCAGCCGCGGUAAUACGGAGGAUCCGAGCGUUAUCCGGAUUUAUUGGGUUUAAAGGGUGCGUAGGCGGCCUUUUAAGUCAGCGGUGAAAGUCUGUGGCUCAACCAUAGAAUUGCCGUUGAAACUGGGGGGCUUGAGUAUGUUUGAGGCAGGCGGAAUGCGUGGUGUAGCGGUGAAAUGCUUAGAUAUCACGCAGAACCCCGAUUGCGAAGGCAGCCUGCCAAGCCAUGACUGACGCUGAUGCACGAAAGCGUGGGGAUCAAACAGGAUUAGAUACCCUGGUAGUCCACGCAGUAAACGAUGAUCACUAGCUGUUUGCGAUACAGUGUA